rnacentral:rRNA from 1 species
GAUGAACGCUGGCGGCGUGCCUAAUACAUGCAAGUCGAGCGAACAGACGAGGAGCUUGCUCCUCUGACGUUAGCGGCGGACGGGUGAGUAACACGUGGAUAACCUACCUAUAAGACUGGGAUAACUUCGGGAAACCGGAGCUAAUACCGGAUAAGAUAUUGAACCGCAUGGUUCAAUAGUGAAAGACGGAUUUGCUGUCACUUAUAGAUGGAUCCGCGCCGCAUUAGCUAGUUGGUAAGGUAACGGCUUACCAAGGCAACGAUGCGUAGCCGACCUGAGAGGGUGAUCGGCCACACUGGAACUGAGACACGGUCCAGACUCCUACGGGAGGCAGCAGUAGGGAAUCUUCCGCAAUGGGCGAAAGCCUGACGGAGCAACGCCGCGUGUGUGAUGAAGGUCUUCGGAUCGUAAAGCUCUGUUAUUAGGGAAGAACAAAUGUGUAAGUAACUAUGCACGUCUUGACGGUACCUAAUCAGAAAGCCACGGCUAACUACGUG